rnacentral:rRNA from 1 species
CAGUCGCCGCGGGAAUACGUAGGGUGCGAGCGUUAAUCGGAAUUACUGGGCGUAAAGCGUGCGUAGGCGGUGAGUUAAGUCUGCUGUGAAAUCCCCGGGCUCAACCUGGGAAUGGCAGUGGAUACUGGCUCGCUAGAGUGUGUCAGAGGAUGGUGGAAAUCCCGGUGUAGCGGUGAAAUGCGUAGAGAUCGGGAGGAACAUCAGUGGCGAAGGCGGCCAUCUGGGACAACACUGACGCUGAGGCACGAAAGCGUGGGGAGCAAACAGGAUUAGAUACCCCGGUAGUCCCUGUCUCUUAUAA